rnacentral:lncRNA from 1 species
UAUAUAUAUAUAUAUAUAUAUAUAUAUAUAUAUAUAUGCUUCAACGGAUGCAAUACGUACAUAUAUCCAGGUACAUGAGAGCACGACGGGACUGGAUCCAGUUAUGGCUUGUGGGUUGGCUUACGUUGAGGACCGGAAGGGUUCUUCUUCUUCACAUGUGGCAGUGGCUUCUUCCGUGACCUUGGCAAAGGCUUGGAGAUGUGCUCGUCCGGUAUGGCACCACAGCCGGGAUCCGGGCACAGCGGUCCAGAUACGGGCUGCAAGGCUAGUGGCGGUUUGAUAUCUCUGAUGUGUGGCCGUUUCGCGACCGGAAGUUUGUCGAUAAAACGUGAUGGCCUGGAGCUGGCAUCAGAGGGUGUGGCGAGAGCCACCAUUGCUAAGAGGAGGGCUAGAAGCAGAUACUGUGGAAGGGAAGGCUUCAUGGUGUUUGUUAGAGGUGGGAAUUUGGG